AUGAAGGAUAGGCACUACCCCGAUGCCAAAUGGGAUCUCGUUUCCCUUGAAGGAGACGCGAGCAGCACCGUCAUGCCACGUGAAGGAGUCGGUGAUGUUGACAUGGUCCGCGGCUUCGUCCUUCAUGGUACCGGCUCGUCGAGGUGGGCGAAGGGUGUGACGGGUGAUUUGAACGCCGGGAGGCAUCGUGGCGAGCACCAUGUCGUGGUCCUCGGCGUGAUGAAAUGGAGGCACCAGCUUGACGAUAUUGACGGUGGGCGGCGCCGUGGCGUGCCCUGUGUCAUUGUGUUCCGCGGCACCGUGUGA
rnacentral:rRNA from 1 species